UUAGGUACCACACCAACCAAAGGAUUUGAUUGCAUACCAAAUCUCAAGUCUCAGCACCCUGCAGCGAAGCACCCACCAGCCUAUAAGACACUGCCUUGGAACUCAGCCAGUCCCCCAGGGUGUGACCACAGUCCACAGGUAUGAAAAAAUGAGGCAAGGGACACCAUAUGAACCACUGAACUGUGGAUGGAGCUGGGCUUGGAAACUACAGACUCUAAUUCCUGAAAAUUCACUCCUCUGCAGCAAUCUGCCGGCUCCUACAGUGUGUAUUCAUG